UAACAGUCAUGUGCACAUGUUGAGGCAGUGUUCUCUUUCAUUAUCUAAAAAGUAUAUGUGGAGCUCUAGAAGGUUGCAGAGGCAGUGGGGUUCCCUCCUUUUCGAAGAAAAAUGGUGCUAGAAGGCAAUAAGAACACAAUAUUCAAUUAUUGGUGACAUUAAAAAAAAUUGACUCUCUAAUAAACGUAGCUAUGUUCUUAUUGGAUUGUGGAGUAAAUCGGUUAGCCCCAGUCGUAUCUGUUCGAGAAUAACCGUGUAGCGUUGCUGCCAUUUGUAGUUCUGCAUUAUUUGAACAGAGUGUGUUAUUUCUACUAGGUUUUAUUGAGGCCCUUCAGUUUGCAGUUAUAACUUUAAAACUUGUUGAUGUAUGUCGUUGCAUUUUUGCGUCGAUUAUCGUCGAAUAAUAUCUGCCUGGGCAGAAAACCCCACAUGGGCUGAUAAUGAUAUGUGCUUCACUGCUUGUGCAUCUCUGGCCAGCCUUGCCUUGUCUGGUGGUUGCAAACACGUGGCUCUAGUGUGCAGCUGAAGGCUUGGGUGAUGAAAGGAGAUGAUCGGUUGCUAACUGCGAUAUGUUUUGGCUAUGAACUUGGCCUGUUCCUGGGAAAACUGUUGCCAGAUACUUUCUUGUGAUCUGCUUGCUCAACCACUGUUACUUUUCUAGCUGUGGACCUGUGAGGCUGAUUACAGCAUGCCAUUCCAGUUCUAGUGUGUAGAACACAGCCUUCACCCAGAUCAUUUUAGUAUGAGGAGCUCAUUUGUGUGUGCAUGUGUGGUGGUGUGAGUUGAACCAAGAGAGAAGGUCAUGUUGUGAUCUGACAAUGGUUCAUUUCUGUGUCUGUGUGUGAAGGAUAGCCAACAAACAAUGGCAUAUUGGUGUGGCACCAAACCUGACAGCGUAUACAGUUCACAACCUGUCCAUGUUGCUGGGAACCAACCGGCUGGUUGCUUCACUUGGUCGGUUACAGUCACAGACAACCAACACUGCAUGAGUAGGCCAGAUCGUGACCGAACAUGUGUCGGCACCUCGCGUGGCCCAGAAAAGUCUCACUUGUAAGGUCUUGAUCAAAGUGACUUUCUAAGGGAGUUAUGUACUAUGAUUGACUUCUUUGUACUCCAGUAGUGUACUAUAGUAGGAGUAUUAGUAAAGUAACACCAGCAGGUUAAUGUUACUUGAUCAGGACAAUAGGUAGCAUCUGAAGAUGUUAGGUGGGGUUAUUGUGAUUAGGCCAGCAGCAUGCAGAGCAAGAUCAUUAGGGCAUCAUCAGGCAUGGGAUCAAUAAUAAGAUCCCUAAUUGGCAGAAUGGUGACCCUGAUGUGAGAGGGAGUGUGCUGUUGCAGUGUGUUGUUAAGUGCGACAUUUAUGAAGCUGGAGACUUUGGGAGGCGUCUGGUUUUCUGCUUCACGUGCUGUGUGGAGAUGUUGGUGACGGUGCCGCAAUUGAAUGGCUCCUUGAUUUAGGUAGGUUCCUGAUGGCGAUGCACCUGCAUCUACGAGGUUGGUGACAGACAACCUUUGCCAUGCUCAUCCCAUCCCAAUGCCAACAACACAAUUGCCAACACAACUUGCUUCAGUCACAAAGAAAGAUUAGAUUAACCGAAGAGCAAUGUCCAAGGAAUUGUGAUCUCAGUCAUCCUAGUGCUGUUGAUAAACAUGUAAUGCACUUGAUCCAAAGCCAAAAUUUAGAUGAUUCUGACGGAAAAACUAUUGUUUGUAGUUGGGAAUAUACUGAUGCCAAGAAGAACAAGUUGAUCAAAACAAGAGAAAGAUGAUGAAGAGGAAUACACUCUUCAGCCAAAAAGAAGUCUUGUGAGAAAAAGCAAAAUUACACAUGUAGAGUAUAUGAUAUACGUAGUAUCAACUAUGCACACACUACUGAGUAGUGACUGAUGCACCGCACCAAUAAUUUCUGCAUUGACUUCUGGAGCUCAUCUGGUGUGAUCAGAUUGACGCGGUUCUUCCGCUCCUGGAUUUCUUGACCAGGAAGAGCUUCUUGAGCAGCCUGAACAUCAGCAGCAGGCUCCACCUCCGGCGCCGGACCACCAUGUGCCUGCCACUGCCACUACGCUUCCUCGCCUCGACCACACCGCCGUCGUCGCCCUCGCCGUCGCCGUCGCUGUAGAACCACUCGGCCUCCUUCAUCAUCGUCAUCGCCAUCAGCCCGCCCCCCUUGCUCACGGGGCUGAGAGGGCACACCGGCGGCGCGCGCGCGAGCUCUUCGUUGAAGUCCUCCCACAGCAUGUCCAUCCUCUCGUCGCGGCCCCUCGGCGAGCCGCUGCUGCCGUCGUCCUCCUCCUCCGCGACGGCGGCGACGAACCACGGCGGAGGGAACGGCGCGAGCUUGCACUGCCCGCCCGGGACAGUGGGGAAAGUGAACUCAUCCAUGGUCGAGCUCGCUAGCUAGCUGCUUUCUUGCUUGCUUGCAAAGUUGCAAAUCCCUAUGGUGUAGUGGCUAGCGUGUAUGUAUCUGUCGACCGCUCGAUUCAUUUAUAUAUGGAGGUGUAGUCUGGUACUAUGAGGUACGUGUACGAUCGCGAGCGGUAGUGGUAAUGGAGGUUCCAUCAAUUUCACCUUCAUGGACGGUGGAACAUCCUCAUCUUGCAGUACUAAACUGAACUGUGCCGGGAAAAGGCAUGGUGCAUAGGAGAAGUGCAUGAAUGAAUCCGGGUACAUAUGAACCCAUUUUAAAAAACACAUUUCUAAAUGCUAAAAAAAUCUGGAAAAAAAAUUGCACGCGUACGUCUUCAUGUUCUAUGUGCGUGCAUAAAGUUUCAUGGAAAAAUAACUUUUUGUGUGGCCUGUACAAAAAAGGCAAAAAAUUAUGUCGUGAAACACUAUUUAGAAGCACUGAAAUUUGUCUUUUUUGCGAAGGCAAAACAAAAAGACAUUUUUUCAUAAAACUUUGUGCCGCGUACACACGUUUGCGAACAUGUAUGCGUGAUAUUUUCUUUUGAUUUCUUUAACAUUUAAAAACGUGCUUAAAAUGCAUUUUAUGAAAAGUGGGUGCAUAUGCCCAUGGGUUCAGAUGGUGCCCUCUCUGGUGCAUAGGUGCUAUCUGCUGUGGUUGGCCAGAGCUAAGCUUCAAGAGAUGGACGGCUAAGCAAGUGAUGAUGCGGUGAUGAUGUGCCAGGUACGGGUAACUUGCUUCCGUUCCAGGGGAUCAAGCUCUCUCCCCCCUGACGAAAGUUGACAGUAAGCUAUUGCGGGUGGGAAAAGCUGGUCAGUGGGUUGAAUCAAACACCGAAGUUGAUCAAGCUUGAACAAGUUUACAUAGAAUCAAAUUUUGGGUUCAUAAAGUAAAUUUGAUUUCUAUUGACAAUAGUAUAUAACAUUUUGAUUUUUAUAAAAUACUCAGAGAGAUGCAGUAAUGCAAACCAUCAAUAGAAAGUUCAGCAUACUGAAAGGAUGGUCGGCGAAAUUUGGUGUACUGAACCAGGACGUCUCCUGAUCUCUAGCAGUCCAACCAGUGUAACACGAUUGAUACACAACUCUUAAUCCACUAGCUCGGUAUUACCCUGGUAAUUGCCUAACUUAAACCCAAAUCAAGCAACAUUCAAGCAUUUCAACCCAUUCAAAUUGGAUUAUAUUAUAGAAAGACAGAUCUUCACAUGAUACAUGCGUGUAGAUCGACCUACCUUCUCUUACCAUGUUUCUGAUGNNNNNNNNNNNNNNNNNNNNNNNNNNNNNNNNNNNNNNNNNNNNNNNNNNNNNNNNNNNNNNNNNNNNNNNNNNNNNNNNNNNNNNNNNNNNNNNNNNNNNNNNNNNNNNNNNNNNNNNNNNNNNNNNNNNNNNNNNNNNNNNNNNNNNNNNNNNNNNNNNNNNNNNNNNNNNNNNNNNNNNNNNNNNNNNNNNNNNNNNNNNNNNNNNNNNNNNNNNNNNNNNNNNNNNNNNNNNNNNNNNNNNNNNNNNNNNNNNNNNNNNNNNNNNNNNNNNNNNNNNNNNNNNNNNNNNNNNNNNNNNNNNNNNNNNNNNNNNNNNNNNNNNNNNNNNUAUCAAGAUAUCGAAAUAAAUAUAUUGCCUGCCUCUUCCCAUCAGUUUGGACUUUCGGGGGUAAUUUACUGGAGCAUGAGUUCAAUAUGAUCUCGGGGUCAAGUGGUCUCGAGUUCCAGACUGCCAACAGAGUGUUAAAAGAAAGAUUACGCGACCUACAACAAUCCCACAUCUAAGAACUAAAUAAAUCUAGACAUGAGGGGAGUGUUAAAAUAUAUUGUCCGUCUCUCUCCAUCAGUUUGGACUUUUGGGACAGCUGGCUGGAGCAUGAAUUCAAUACAAUAUUUAAAUAGAUUUUUCUUUUGCCUCUUUGACUUAGCAAUAUGAAAAAUUUAAGAACGGGUCUUGCACACACACAUGGGCUAAAAUGACAGAUUUCUAAAUGUUUUUCCAUGUAAUCUUCAUUUUGCCCAACAGAAAAAGAAGGAAACUAGUGUCCGUGGGACAUGGCAAUGGUUGGAAAAAUCAAUACAUGGUGGAUACCUAAACACAAAUUAAGUUCAUGAUCAAGAGAUGGGUAGGUUGUAGGUAGAAUAGAAUAGCCAUGGAGGACCUGACUCCGACCUUCCUAACAGAAACUGCAAGAUGCUGGAUGCUGGACCAACCAAUCACAUGCAUGCCGAGGUGAAAAAAAAAAGCAAAGAUGAUUGGUGUUGGAUGGAAGGCUAGGGUGACUGAAAAGCAAAGGGAAGCUAACACACCAUGAAUAGUGUCACAAUGGUUUUGAAUGGAGGGAGCGGGCAUAGAUAUGCACUACGUGCUCUCUUCUGAUGGCUUUCUGCCAAAGAUGUGAAUGUUGCUUGGAAAGUGGUGUCUUUUCUGGUGAAAGAGUAAAGAUGACUGAAUGAGGUGUCUUUGGUUGUCACUGACAAGAAGGGGGGAAAGGAGACUGAAUGGAUGAGCGAUGGAAAUGUCUUGUGGUGCAUGAUGCAACAGUUUGUUUUGGAUGGAUAUGCAUUGUAUUUCUUGAAGAUUCUGGUUUGUGAAAGAGGCCAUGAUGGGAUGACAUGCUAGUCUAUUGCAUUUCAACAAAGGAUCAUCAUAGUCUCUGUCCAUGUGGAUUAUAGUUUCUGGGUGUCUAGAUCUGUACCAGAUUGAAGUCAAUGUUGUUUGAUGUAGCAAGGUGGAGACUCAAAAGCAUAAAAAUGUGUUUAAUUUAAUAGCAGUGGAAAGUAUGUAAUGGAAAUGAAAACUUCAGAACAUGUAUGGAUGAGAAUAUAUCCAGUGACAUGUAUCUUACUUUGUGUCAUCGAGUUCACACAUUUUACAUAGUAAUUCGAAUGGUUUAAAUGUUACUAGUAUGAAACUAAUUUGACAAUACCAGUGAAAUACAUAAGAUAAAAAAAUAAAGCUACUAUAUAUUUACAACAAAAAUCCAAAAAAAUCAAAAAUAUGCUUGUUGUGUUCCUCAUCUGAAUGAUUUUUUAAUACCAGUCCACUUUUGCUGGAAGAUAUAUUUUUUUAAAUGAUUUUCUCUUAACUGUUUAUACUGUCUUCUGAAAGAGUUAGAAGAUGAUACAGUAGGUGCUAUCGCGAGAGGUGCUAGCACAGGAUAUUUUAUCACAUCUCGUGGAUACCUCAUCUGAAUCACCGUCGCUUUUCAAGUUUAUCAUCUCCAACAAAAUAGAUUUGGCAACUUAGUGGGAGCAAGCUAAUCUGAUCGUUCAAAGGUUGGCUGGCUAAAAGAAGCUAGGCGAUUCUUUAUAGUAGUGGGAUCCAAUCACUAAUUGGAUAUCUCUUUUUUUGGCACUUCAAAAUCUCAAAUGUCUGUGAACAAAAAAACUUCACUUUCAAGCAAGAAAGAGAGUCCCACUCAUGGGCUGCAGGACCAGUGAGGCCCUAUGUUCAAAUUAUGUAAGACUUCGGCCGUUUUUGUAGCUGUAUUAGCAGUUGGCACAUGCCAUGGAUAACCAUAUUUAAGAUUCUCCACUGUACCACCAACAAAGUAGAGAAAUGCACUCAUCAUACUAGUACGUAUCGACCAAUAAAGGCAUGCAGGUAUCUUAAUAUGUAUAAAGGGCAUGAUGGAUCCAAUCAUUGGUGGUUUUUGUUUCUUUGAGCACUUGAAAUUGCUAAGUCUCAAUGAACAAAGACUUCAUUAUGAAGCGAGAAAAAGGAAGCCACACAUAUGGACCAUUAUUUUUUAGAUGGAAACGUAGCUGCAUCAUAGCUAUCCAAAACGAACCGCAAAUUGUUUCAUCGUUAUAACCAAAGGGACAACAAGGAACGAACUGUGACAGGUCGCAUUACAUCAAGACUCGGUGUAAAUAACCUAUUACGCCUCGACAUCCAAAGCAAGACGUAAACUUCCGUGUGAGCCGCUCCAAUUUCUUGGCUCCAUCCUCCAAAUGUUGCAUGUGAUCUGUACGAUAAUUUCUUUUUCGCGAAAUGGCCCUAUGCCAUAUAUGUGAUACAGACGAGUAAUAAAGCCUACGAUCACAACCAAUUGAUUGAUGGGUAGAGCACGUGCUUAAAAGACUUUAUGUCAAAACCAAACAAUCAUGCACAUUUCAGGCUCUCGCUCCUUGAUGUUCCCCCCGAAAAAGAUACCCUCUUACGGAAAUUAUUUAAAGACACUAAGAAAAAUCUUCAAAUUUGUAGUUUGCUUCAGGUCAUGAUCCAUAAAACUAAUUAUGUCAUGAGAAUUUGAAUAAUUAAGAUACCAUCAUUAAUAAAUUGAAACUACUUCACUAAUUUGGCCAUGUAGUUACGAAAAAAAAAAC
rnacentral:lncRNA from 1 species